rnacentral:rRNA from 1 species
UUGAAAGGGAAACGAUUGAAGUCAGUCGUACCGGUGGGUAAUCAGCCUUUUGGGCGUGAUUAUGUGGAGCGUGAGGAGCUAAACACCUUCAUGCCUGCGUAUUCGUGCACUUUGGGUGUACUUGCCCGCAUGGUUGGUUAACAUCAAUUUCGGAAGCCAUAAAAUGGUUGGAGGAAUGUGGCUUCGACCUCGGUUGAAGUGUUAUAGCCUUCAGCAGAUGUGGUGAUCGAGAUUGAGGAUUGCAACGGAUACCCUUCGGGGCUACCUGUCUGAUCUCUGAUCGUUACUCUGGUGUCGAAAGCGUGCUUACGGUCAUCA